rnacentral:rRNA from 1 species
GAUGAACGCUGGCGGCGUGCCUAAUACAUGCAAGUCGAGCGGACAGACCCGGCUUUUGCUCCUCUCACGUUUGCCGCGGACGGGUGUAUCACACGUGUAUCCCCUCCCUAUCUUUCUGGUAUCUCUUCGAGACUCCGGCUCUUAUCCCAUAUGAUCUCUUGCUCCGCGUUGUUCAUUGGUGAAAUUCGGUUUUUCUGUCACUUCUCGCUGGAUCCCGGCCGCAUUAGCUGGUUGGUAAGGUAACGGCUUACCAAGGCAACGAUGCGUAGCCGAGGGGAGAGGGUGAUCGGCCACACGGGAACGGAGACACGGUCCAGACGCCUACGGGAGGCAGCAGUAGGGAAUCGGACGCAGUGGGCGAAAGCUUGACGGAGCAACGCCGCGUGAGGGAUGAAGGUCUUCGGAGCGGAAAGAUCUGUUAUUAGGGAAGAACAAAUGUGGAAGGAACUAUGCACGUCGUGACGGUAACGAAUCAGAAAGCAACGGCUAACUACGUG